rnacentral:rRNA from 1 species
UGGACGAAGUCUGACGGAGCAUGCCGCGUGAGUGAAAAGGUUUUCGGAUCGUAAAACUCUGUUGUUAGAGAAGAACAGGGAUGAGAGUAACUGCUCAUCCCCUGACGGUAUCUAACCAGAAAGCCACGGCUAACUACGUGCCAGCAGCCGCGGUAA